rnacentral:rRNA from 1 species
UACCAGACUCCUACGGGAGGCAGCAGUGGGGAAUAUUGGGCAAUGGGCGCAAGCCUGACCCAGCAACGCCGCGUGAAGGAAGAAGGCUUUCGGGUUGUAAACUUCUUUUGACAGGGAAGAGCAGAAGACGGUACCUGUCGAAUAAGCCCCGGCUAACUACGUGCCAGCAGCCGCGGUAAUACGUAGGGGGCAAGCGUUAUCCGGAUUUACUGGGUGUAAAGGGGGCGCAGACGGCGAUGCAAGCCAGGAGUGAAAGCCCGGGGCCCAACCCCGGGACUGCUCUUGGAACUGCGUGGCUGGAGUGCAGGAGGGGCAGGCGGAAUUCCUGGUGUAGCGGUGAAAUGCGUAGAUAUCAGGAGGAACACCGGUGGCGAAGGCGGUCUGCUGGACAGCAACUGACGCUGAGGCGCGAAAGCGUGGGGAGCAAACAGGAUUAGAUACCCCUGUACA